UCUAUUCUAUAUCAAGAAGUAAGUAUACAGGUGUAGUACUAUAUAUACAAGCAUGAUUCGUAAAUUUGAUCAAAGACAUAACCUUGUAGUUGCUCCAAAAAUGCGUUUGCUCCGAAAUGAACGGCUUAUGUAAAUGUUCACAAUUAAUUGUUUAUUACUGUUUUUCACAUAGUUAACAGUUAAUUUAGAAAAAUUGAACUUGAAAAAAAAAUUAGUAAAAAAGUUAAAAGUGAUUUUCUCCUUAGUGUGAGUGAAGUUGACAAUGCGAUGAAGGAUGUAGAUGAAAGUGAAAUUAACUAUGAGAAUAAGGGUAUUGAUAGUGAGGAUGGUGACAAUUAUUUUGAUAGCGAUGAUUUCUCAGACUAUUCUGAUGACAGUGUGAAUUCUAAUGAGCAUGAUCGACAGGCAUUAGCUCAUAGUGAAAAGGAUAGUGAACAAACAUUUAACAUGACAAAUGAAGAACCAGAAGUGAACUUAUUGAGGAUAUGGGCUGUAGACUCUGGAAUUCCAAAAAAUCAUUUGGACUCUUUGCUGAAGAUUUUGAAGAAAAGACUUCUACCGAGCAUACCAUCAUGUUCCAAGAGUUUCUUACGCACCUCUGAUGCAAAAUAUAACAGCCAAACAAUAAUAGACUCUUCCAAUUCAUUAGGCGAGUUCUGUUACCUGGAUAUAACUCAAGGACUGCGUGCAUGUGUCAAUCCACUUUUACACAAUGACCAAAAUCUUAGACUGGAUUAUAACAUUGACGGAGUAAAAAUCAAGAAGUCAAAUUCUAAAUCAAUGUGGUCUAUUCUAUGUAGAAUAUUUUAUAAGCCAAGGCCAACAGCUUAUAAGCCAUUCCCAGUUACAAUUUUUUAUGGCAAUGGAAAACCUAUGGCUCAAAACAAAUUUUUGGAAGAUUUUGUUUGUGAAGUAAACUCUCUACAAGAAAAAGGAAUUGUAAUCAAGUCUGUUCACUUUAAUGUUAAAACUAGAGCUUUUAUGUGUGAUAUACCGACAAGAUCUCAAGUAAAAUGUACUAAAGCACACAUGAGCUUCAAUGGCUGUGAACGGUGUGAUGUGACUGCAUAUAAAGUUGAUCAUACUAUAGUGUACAAGGAAUUUGGUCGUAAAAGAACAGAUGAGGACUUUAGAUCUUUUACUGAUGUGCAGCACCACACUGGCGCAUCACCAUUAUUAGCUAUUGAGCCUAAAGUUAAUCUAGCGGAUCAGCUCAUACUCGACUCCAUGCAUUUGUUAUAUUUGGGACUAAUGUUAAAUGAUAAAGCAGCUGAACACAGAUUUUUUGUUUUUUAUUGUGGACCUGUGGUUUUGAAAAAAGUGCUGAACAAAGAAUUGUAUACAACUUUAUCAAUAGAUUAUUUGACAAGAUUUGUAAAGGAUUCAAAUAUUUAUUAUGGAGAUAAAUUUGUGUCAUUAAAUGUGCAUAAUUUGGUUCAUUUACCUGAUGACGUGGACAAUAUGCAAUGCAAUCUUAGUGAAAUUUCAGCUUUUUCAUUUGAAAGUAAACUGGGGAAAAUCAAGAAUGUUCUGUUAUCACCACACAGAACAAUAUCACAAUAUUGUCGACGAGUCCAUGAAGAAAGACAAGUUUUGGAUCAGAUGGCCAAAGUUCCUCAAGAUAUAUCAAUCUUGAAAGAAAAAAAAAGGCGCAGUAAUUCAGCUAAUGUAUAAAAACCAGUAUUUUUCUUUAGAACAUCCGGAUAACUCAGCUAUAUUAAAAAAUGGUAGUCAUAAAAAUAAAUAAAAUAAUCAAAACUGACCAGAAGAUUUACUUGGAUGUAUUGAAUUAUAAAAUAGUAAAAUCAAUUUUUUCAAGUCCUUGUGAUUCGUCCUUGCUACAAAUGUAUGAAGUAGAAUCAACUGAUAGUAGUCAGCAUUCCAGUAUUGUUCUUAUCGAUGACAUUCACACAAAAAUAAUCAAGAUGAACAUGAGUUUUUCCUCAAGCGACGAGUGCAGAUGCUUUGCAGUGCCACUUUUUUCAUUAAAAAUGAUGUUGAAUGAACAUGAUCAUGCAACAUUUUUUGCUGAAAUGGAUGACCAAUCAGUACUUCUAGACCAAUUCCCUUACCACGUUGUUGAAUUUGUGGCUGCUGGGCGAAAACCAAAAGUGCGCAAGACAGAUAUUGUUG